rnacentral:rRNA from 1 species
AUGAGUUGCAUCAGCUGGAACUGCCGGGGGCUUGGGAACCUUGAGGCAGUUCGAGAGCUUCGCAAGGUGGUGAAGCAAGAAGGGCCCGUGCUGGUUUUUGUCAUGGAGACGAAGAUCAGAGCAAGGAGAGUGGAGGAUCUGCGGUUCACUUUAGGGUUUACCGGCAGUUUUGCAGUUGAUAGUGAUGGCCUCAGUGGGGGCAUCGGUCUGUUCUGGUCCAACGAUGUGCAUGUAGAGCUCAAAAACUAUAGCGCCAGUCAUAUUGAUGUGAUGGUGCGGGAAACAUCAGCGGACUUG